AACCCUAAAUGCCCUUUUGAUUCCUCUGCUUCGCACCUCUAUUUAUACCCAUUCCACCCCCUCUAUUCUAGGCGUGCUUCAGAAGAUGGAGAAGAAGAAAAACACUUCCAUAGGGCUAUAGAGCUAGGGUUUCCCCCCUUUUCCCCCACAGGGAGAUUUAAUUCCCUAGUCCCUCCCAUGGAGUGUGCACAGUUAUCUUAUCGUGCACCGCCAUCGGUUGAAGCUGCCAGCAUGAUCUAAACAUCUCUCCUUUGGUUUUGAGAGAAGAUCAGAUCAUAUGGUAGCUUCACCCGUUGUUCGUGCCACGAAAAAAGAAACCCUAAUUCUGUCGUAACCCUAAUUGCCAGACAUACAUACAGGCCCGUGAGUGUUUUCUCAAUACAUAUAUAUAUCCCUAAAAUGGUAUGUGGCUGAUGUUCUUGUACUCUCUACUGCCGUUUCAUUGAUUUGGGGUUUAAUUGUUUUCUCUCUUUAUGUGUUUUUUAUUUCCCGUAGUCUUAUGCUGAAAAUGUCAACACAGAUGGGUUGUUAAAAUUUGGAGUGACAAGAAUUUUCGGAUCCCGGGCGCGGUUCGAUGAUUCCGAGAUCACCUCGUACUACUUUGUUUUAGAGGGUAUGGAUAUGGAUCUCUCUUUUCAUGUUACUGUUUUUCGAUAUUGUAGGUUUAUUUUCUAUGGAGCGUAAAAUGGAUGACCUUUUGGGAACAUCCGAUAAAAUUGGAACGGUACAGAGAAGAACUUAGAGCAGAUACCGAAUGCUAGUUGGAUCGAAAUGGCUCUUGUAAAUCACCAGGGGAUGGAAAAGUGGGGAUCUUGAACCUUUUGGUAUGGAUUGUUAUGAGAUUUUUCGUGUUUUCGUCGGUGAGAAACUUGAGAUUUGAAGUCUGAUUUCUUCCCACAAGGAGUUUUUAGGAGGCAAAAUGUAUUCCAGGAUAGAUUUCAUACCUAAAGCAAAUAAAUUAGUGAGAUUUUUUGGUCCUUUUUUUGUUUGUUUGUUGAACUUCGAUUUUGUGACCCUUGGCCUCAUAAGUUUUGAGAAAAGGAGAUUCAAUCCUCAACAUUUUACCGUCAUUAGAUGAUGGCUUGUUUCUUUAUGAUUUAGGGAUUUCAUGAACCUGGUGGGAUCAGAGAGAGAGAGAGAGAGAGGCUAUGCCCAGUUUCCCAAAUAGUGUUUUGAAUCUUUCAUCUGCUUUCCUUCUUGUUAUCUUGGGAUGAAUGCUGCCGUACAGUAACGCCAGUUUAUUUCUUUUCUUUUCUUUUGAAGGUUAUGGAGAGAGAGAGAGAGAGAGAAGAUCUUGGAAACCAUUUGGAAGAAGACAUUUAUUGAAAAAAUGUCACUAGAAAUCCCUCAUGUCUUGUGAUGGAUCCCUAGAUUGUUAAUCUGCAAGAGUUCUCCCUGCCUAGGGUUUUUCCUCUUUCCAACAUCUAACAUAGCUUCAUGCAAAGAGAAAAACAUAAAGUUAGCAUCUUGGCUUUCCAUCAAGAUGCUAAUUAAAUCGAAGUAUCCGGAUAUGGUAUUGGUGGUACGGCUGUAUAUCAACUAUCAAGGCUAUUGAAUUGUGUCGGUCAAUAUGUACAUAUAAUCAUCGGUCUUGGAACUCCGGAGAUGUCGAAAAAAAUCCUGGUUUCCAUCCAAAUUCUAGAGUGGUCCUCGCAAAGCAUAUAACAGUACUGCAUUUUCUUUAAUAAAAUGUUGUUGUUGUCGGUUAAAAAAAAAAAA